UCGGAUUCUGGGCGUAAGCGCACGCAGGCGGUCUGUCAAGUCGGAUGUGAAAUCCCCGGGCUCAACCUGGGAACUGCAUUCGAAACUGGCAGGCUAGAGUCUUGUAGAGGGGGGUAGAAUUCCAGGUGUAGCGGUGAAAUGCGUAGAGAUCUGGAGGAAUACCGGUGGCGAAGGCGGCCCCCUGGACAAAGACUGACGCUCAGGUGCGAAAGCGUGGGGAGCAAACAGGAUUAGAUACCCUGGUAGUCCACGCCGUAAACGAUGUCGACUUGGAGGUUGUGCCCUUGAGGCGUGGCUUCCGGAGCUAACGCGUUAAGUCGACCGCCUGGGGAGUACGGCCGCAAGGUUAAAACUCAAAUGAAUUGACGGGGGCCCGCACAAGCGGUGGAGCAUGUGGUUUAAUUCGAUGCAACGCGAAGAACCUUACCUACUCUUGACAUCCAGAGAACUUUCCAGAGAUGCAUUGGUGCCUUCGGGAACUCUGAGACAGGUGCUGCAUGGCUGUCGUCAGCUCGUGUUGUGAAAUGUUGGGUUAAGUCCCGCAACGAGCGCAACCCUUAUCCUUUGUUGCCAGCGGUUAGGCCGGGGACUCAAAGGAGACUGCCAGUGAUAAACUGGAGGAGGGUGGGGAUGACGUCCAGUCAUC
rnacentral:rRNA from 1 species